AUCUACUUAUAGAAAGAACAACAACCAAAAUCUGUAGUAUGAAAACAGCAUAAAGAGAAUAUUUUUGUUUAGACAUUUACCAGUCGGGCAAGGCAAAAGCAAAUAUCACUUUACCCACCCACCAGAAGUUUUAUGGCACUUACAUAACCAAAAUUGAGUCGAUAGUGCCGUACAACACCUACUCAAUCAAACCAGAAGCUUUUGUUUUAGCAGAGGUUUUGCGGCGCUGGCAAUUGCAUAACACCCACCCGAAGCACAUCCUGGUGUGACGAAAUUCUGUCGCUUAAAUUAUUUUUAGUUUGGGAGGGGUGGAUUUGUUGAGAGCCAGACACGACAGAGCCUUAUUAUGUCAAAUAGAGCUGGGCUGCCUGAGACCUGACAGACACAACAACACAGAGAGAGAGAGAGAGAGAGACAGAGGACCAAG